CCCUUAGAUGUUCUGGGCCGCACGCGCGCUACACUGAUGCAUUCAACGAGCCUAUCCUUGACCGACAGGUCCGGGUAAUCUUUGAAUCUGCAUCGUGACGGGGAUAGAUUAUUGCAAUUAUUAAUCUUCAACGAGGAAUGCCUAGUAGGCGCAAGUCAUCAGCUUGCGUCGAUUACGUCCCUGCCCUUUGUACACACCGCCCGUCGCUCCUACCGAUUGGGUCUGCUGGUGAAAUGUUCGGAUCGGCCGUUUGUCGCGGUUUCCGCGGCUCGUGGCUGAGAAGUUCAUUAAACCCUCCCACCUAGAGGAAGGAGAAGUCGUAACA
rnacentral:rRNA from 1 species